rnacentral:rRNA from 1 species
AGUGAACGCUGGCGGUAGGCCUAACACAUGCAAGUCGAACGGCAGCACAGUAAGAGCUUGCUCUUACGGGUGGCGAGUGGCGGACGGGUGAGGAAUACAUCGGAAUCUACUUUUUCGUGGGGGAUAACGUAGGGAAACUUACGCUAAUACCGCAUACGACCUACGGGUGAAAGCAGGGGAUCUUCGGACCUUGCGCGAUUGAAUGAGCCGAUGUCGGAUUAGCUAGUUGGCGGGGUAAAGGCCCACCAAGGCGACGAUCCGUAGCUGGUCUGAGAGGAUGAUCCGCCACACGGGAACUGAGACCCGGUCCAAGCCCCUACGGGGGGCAGCGGGGGGGAAUAUGGGAAAAGGGGCGCAACCCUGACCCAGCCAUACCGCGUGGGUGAAGAAGGCCUUCGGGUUGUAAAGCCCUUUUGUUGGGAAAAAAAAGCAGCAGGUUAAUCCCCCGCUGUUCUGACGGUACCAAAAGAAUAAGCACCGGCUAACUUCGG